AUGGAGGGAACCAUGAAGAGUGGCGCCAGGGGGGUCAAGGGGAAGGUGGCGAUGGUGUACUCCAAGUACGCCGGCAAGGCCCAGGCCAAGCCUGCCCCGAGCGUCACUGCCGCACACGCCUACCAGCCCAGGUACCCUUCUGCCAUUGACGCGACGGCGAGCGCCGCCUAUGCCGCCACCGGUGACGUCGACGAGAGGGCCACGGCCUUCAUACUGUCCGUCCGAGAGCGCUUCAAGAACGAGCAGAAGAUGGUGAUUUAG
rnacentral:rRNA from 1 species